UACGUAGGGGGCAAGCGUUGUCCGGAUUUAUUGGGCGUAAAGGGCGUGGUAGGCGGUUAGUUAAGUCUGGCGUGAAAGCUCUCGGCUCAACCUCGAGAUGUCGGCGGAAACCAUCUGGCUAGAGUCCGGAAGAGGAGAGUGGAAUUCCUGGUGUAGCGGUGAAAUGCGCAGAUAUCAGGAAGAACACCCGUGGCGAAGGCGGCUCUCUGGGACGGUACUGACGCUGAGACGCGAAAGCGUGGGGAGCGAACAGG
rnacentral:rRNA from 1 species